UUCUUCUGCUCCUUGCCUCCUUCCCUUCUUCUGCGUUCUUCAGUUGUGAAUUGAAUCUCGGAUAAACAAUGAAUCAUUUGGCACGAUUCUCUGGAAGCUAGGUCUUUAUCUCUCUCAGGUGCAAGUGAGAGAUGAGCAGCUGCUGCGGCUGUCAAGUUUGAAUCAAGAGAAAUCAGAGAUUUCGAUUUGUAAAAGCGUGAUCUGAGAUCUGAUGAUGAAUUAAAUUCAAAAAUCACGAUAACCCUUUGAUUCAGAUUAAGUUUUCAGUACUUAUACAGAGAGAUCUCAACCGGUGUACAGUUCAUCAAUUUUGCUUAAGUGUGAAUCUGGUGGUGUCUUUUAUUCAAUUCAAAGAAGAAGAAGUUUCUUUCCAUAAACAAGUUAUAAUCUUCUGGUUCUUGGAGUUUAUUUCGCAGGUAAAUGUUACUAGACAUCUAUAGAUCAUUCUCGUGGACUGUGGUUGAGUACGCUUGUUCUGAUUGCAACAUGCCUGCUAUGACAAAGAGUUUUGAGCACCACAAUUUUGGGCACAUAUUUGACAAGCUUACCGAAGAAAUUGGAAGUCCAGUCGAAUUUGAACUGCCAGACUGGGUAAAGGAUCAGAAUCCUAAUACCUACACCUUCAUAAGACG